rnacentral:rRNA from 1 species
UACGAAGGGGGCUAGCGUUGCUCGGAAUUACUGGGCGUAAAGCGCACGUAGGCGGCUCUUUAAGUCAGGGGUGAAAUCCUGGGGCUCAACCCCAGAACUGCCUUUGAUACUGGCGGUCUUGAGUGUGGAAGAGGUUGGUGGAACUCCGAGUGUAGAGGUGAAAUUCGUAGAUAUUCGGAAGAACACCAGUGGCGAAGGCGGCCAACUGGUCCACUACUGACGCUGAGGUGCGAAAGCGUGGGGAGCAAACAGG